rnacentral:rRNA from 1 species
CCUACGGGAGGCAGCAGUGAGGAAUAUUGGUCAAUGGCCGUAAGGCUGAACCAGCCAAGUCGCGUGAAGGAAGAAGGAUCUAUGGUUUGUAAACUUCUUUUAUAGGGGAAUAAAGGUAUCCACGUGUGGAUAUUUGCAUGUACCCUAUGAAUAAGCAUCGGCUAACUCCGUGCCAGCAGCCGCGGUAAUACGGAGGAUGCGAGCGUUAUCCGGAUUUAUUGGGUUUAAAGGGUGCGUAGGUUGUUUUUUAAGUCAGCGGUGAAAGUUUGUGGCUCAACCAUAAAAUUGCCGUUGAAACUGGACGACUUGAGUGUGUUUGCGGUAGGCGGAAUGCGUGGUGUAGCGGUGAAAUGCAUAGAUAUCACGCAGAACUCCGAUUGCGAAGGCAGCUUACCAGGCCCUAACUGACACUGAAGCACGAAAGCGUGGGUAUCGAACAGGAUUAGAUACCCCUGUAGUC